UGGGUUUCAAGUUGUAUGCAUCUUCCUACCUGUGCAAUUAUGAAGGUAACAUUAUGAGAUUCAGAGCUAGAAAAUUUUAUGUGUUACUUCAUCCUGGAGCGGACAUCCGUCAGAAGAUCCAUGCCAUCGUCUGCUAGUUAAUAGCUCCUGCUCUUGUUUGGCUGAGAGUGGGAUAUGCAAACAUUUGGUUGCUUUGCUUUUCCAGACAGCCCAUUACUCUGAAAUGUGUAAUGUGAGUUGUCACAUGAACAAUUGUUUGGAAUGGAUCAAUUAUGUGUUAAGUUCCAUGAAACAGAUGGGUGAUUUAUUUAUUUAUUUAAUACGUAUAAGCCCAAAUACCUCUCUAUGCACAAGUUACAGAAGAAGCACCUGAUUCAAGAAAACAACUGAUUCAAUGUCAUUUUUUCUGUUCAUCUGAAUAAAAUAUUUUUUUCAAAAUGUUA